AAGGAUGAAGGAGGGGCAGAGAGAGGGGGAGAGGUAAGGAUGAAGGAGGGGCAGAGAGAGAGGAGAGGGGUAGAGGUAAGGAUGAAGGAGGGGCAGAGAGAGAGGAGAGGGGUAGAGGUAAGGAUGAAGGAGGGGCAGAGAGAGAGGAGAGGGGUAGAGGUAAGGAUGAAGGAGGGGCAGAGAGAGGAGAGGGGUAGAAGGAAGGAUGCAGAAAGGGAGAAGAGUAGAAGUACAGAUGACCUUCAAGGAGGAGAGGAGGAGGGGAACAGACAGAGGAUCUCCAAUGAGGAGAGGAGGAGGGGAACAGACAGAGGAUCUUCAAGGAGGAGAGUAGAGGAGAGAGGGAUCAAUAGCCCUCAUCCCUACUGCAGGUGACCAGCGUGGGAAGCCUCACACACACAGAUAAUAGAUGUUCUAUUGAGGAACCUAGACAUCUCGUGCAGCAUGUAGGGAAUAGGGGGCUAUUUGGUACUCAUAUAGUGCAGCAUGUAGGGAAUUAGGGUGCUAUUUGGUACUCAUAUAGUGCAGCAUGUAGGGAAUAGGGUGCUAUUUGGAACUCAUCUAGUGCAGCAUGUAGGGAAUAGGGGGCUAUUUGGAACUCAUGUAGUGCAGCAUGUAGGGAAUAGGGGGCUAUUUGGUACUCAUCUAGUGCAGCAUGUAGGGAAUUAGGGUGCUAUUUGGUACUCAUCUAGUGCAGCAUGUAGGGAAUAGG